AGAUGAAACCAAAUUUUAGAAAAGAAACUGAUCAAAUUUUAUCUCUGUAAGAAAAAGAAAAACAAACCUUAAGAUUGCCAUAGCUUUCCCAAGGCCAGACUGAUAAAGUAACCAUUCUUGGGCUUCUUGUACUCUAAGAUCUCUCUCUCUCUCUUAUUGGUCUAUAACCUUAAAGAUUUCUCCAGGUUUCAAGCAAUCCUGAGAAAAAGAUGUUGCUCUGUUUGUGGAAGUGAGAGAAAGAGAGAGAAACUGAUGGGGUUUUUAAGUUCGUUGAAAGAUUUAACCAAAGCCUAGUUGUGUGACAUUAGUGAGAGCCUCGAGCUUUGUUUACUUAUAUAAGCAUUGAAACUAGGAGGGCCAACUAGACCCCAACAUUUGUUCUUUUUAUCCCUCUCUCUAAUGAAUUUUAAAUACAGUAGUAAUUUUUAAAUCAAUAUUGUGAAGAAAAUAGUUUUCACCUGAAAAUAAAACUCUUACAGCAAUCAGUAUUCAGUGAUAAUUACUUUUAACUCUGCUCAAUCGUACAACAUUCACAUGCUAGUGCAGUUUUGGUAUCAACAUUUUUACUUUGAUGAACAGUUGAUGUUUUUAUUUCGAGUAUAAUUUGGAGUUUAGGAGUUAUUUAGUUUUGCUCCAACCAAAAGAACCGGAGAAAUAAUUCAAUCUUUUCAUUUUAUUAAAACUUACAAAAUCUUAAAAAUAUAUAUAACAACCCGUAAAAUGUCACAAAGGAAUUUUGAGGCCAAUAAACAACAAUAUCAAUACAAUGGAGAAACGAAAAUUCCACAUCCAUUGAAACAAAAAGCCAAAAUUUAAAAUAUCUUUUUGAUAAUGACUACUUACAAUUUAUAAUAGUCAUUAUUAGCGUGAAAAGGAAUGUUAACAGUUUUUUAAAUAAUUUAUAAAAGUAAAUUUACAAUUUAAUAAACUUUAAUUCAACAAAUUAAUAGAGAAAAUGAGAAAUAACUAUGUUGUAAUAUAAAAUAAAUGUAACUAUUUUAACUGAAAUUAUAUAAAUACCUAAUAAAUUUUGUAUAGUAUAUAUAAAACUAAUAUAUUUUACCAAAAUUUAUGUACAAAUAUCUAAUUUUAUAUCGGAACCAAUGUAAAUCAGAAAUGUUUGCAUUGUUUUCCUAAUGUAAAUGGCCGCAAAAACAAUCAUACAUGCAAACCAAACAGAUAACUAUAGCCUAUAGGUUUGUGUAUAUCAUUAUGGACAUAAUCUUUUUUUUUCGACGAAUUUAAAUUUUAUUAAUAUGAAAGUAUAAUAUCUGAAUACAAAGUUGGAGUUAACUAUUUAGGUGGAUAAACUUUACAAUUUUCAAAAAUAGAAUUUGCUGGACCAUGGCGAACAAUUUCAUGGGCGGCUUGAUUUCCAUUACGUUUGAUAAAAGUAAAUGUUGUUGUAGAAAGCUUAUUCUUCGAGCUAGUAUAUCAUUAUGGACAUAAUCAUAAUAAAUAUUAGUAUAAUAUAGAUUUUUUGUAAUUAAAAAUGUUGAACAGUCUUGUAACUAUUUUAGUGAUUUGUUUGAAUAUCUUUUUUUAAUACUUAACGACAUAGAAGUAUAACCAAUUGAUACAAUGGCAUAGCUUCACAGCUGGAUUAUAACUAUCUCACACGCAUUUAAUUUUCGGUUUACGGUUGAAGCGGCGAUGGUUACAGAUCUUGCCCUCGGUGGCUUCUUCGUAUACUCAAAUUUGUAUUCAACUUGUCCUCUUCUUCUACUUUUCUAACAUUUACUUAAACUUUUUAUGGUUUUUCAAACCACAAAUUAAUCCGCGUUUAUGUCACGUACACUAAAGCUUAGCAACAAAAGUUUUAAGCGCCUAAAAUAUAUCACGUGUAUAAAAGCAUUACUUAAUUAUCAUUUUAGAUUUGAACAUACAAAUUAUAAAAAUUUCUAAUUUUGUAUAUUUAUUAAAUAAAAACAUCAUUAAUAAAAAGAUAAAUUGGAAUAAAAAAUUAAUAAAUGAUACUUAUUUUGAAACAUCAAUUUUAUCUACAACGAAAACUAAACCGAAAAAAAAAGAAAGAACCAAUUUUGCUUUGGACAACAUUUACUAUAGGGUGCGUACAAUAGUGGUACUAUAAAAAUGUUAAUAGGGGUCAGGAUUUAAGAUUCAUAUAAAUGCCAUGAGUAAAAGAAUCAAAUGAUUCAAAUCGAAAGACUAGUAAAAAAAUAAAUCAUAAGCUAUAUAAUGUCAGCCAUUUAAUGCCUUGGCAAGAAAAAUCAUGUUUGUAUGCAGUUGCUAAUUUCCAUGUUUUGAUGUUCUCAUAUCUAGUUGGAAGUUAAUUUUAACAACUAAUUAAUGCGUAUAACACAUUAAACACCCUAAAAGCAUGUUCAGACUUGAAAACUAUACUACAAAAAGAAUAGUCUAAAACACACCGACUCGAUUGUGGUUACCAUGAUAAUAGGAACAUUACUGCCAAUUCAUUUGCAGUAUCUUCGAAAUGGAGUCACAUAUUGGACUGGCCAAGCUUAUGCAUGAUUGUAUGGAUCAAUACGGUCCAAGCAAUCGAACUGGAUAUAGUGAUCCUAAAUUAUACAAUUAAUAUUAAUAAUUUUUAAUUAUACAAUUAUUUCCGUUUAAAAUUUGUAAAAUCAUGAAUUAGAGAAUUAAUUAUGUCGGUGUUAGAAAUAAUGGUAGUUAGCGAAACUGAGUAUCAAUAAGGUAAAAACAUAAGCUAUUACUAUUAGCUCACUCCAUGCAAAACAUCAUAUAUUUUGCAGUAAACAAUUGAAUAAAAAUCAUUGCUAUGUGUGAUUAGUUUUAAAUUAAAAAUUCAUAAAAAAAUAUAAGUAAUCAUUUUGUACGUAGUGGUCAUUGGUUUAUUUAUGAUACAUAAUUAGGCCUAUACAUAAUAUAUUAACAAAUUAUAUGAAUGUGUUGAAAUAAGUCCCUUAAACACUGAUAUACACACAGAUGUGUGUCCUUCUUCUUAUAGGAUAGACAGGAAGGUGGAAUAUCGAAAGAAGGGGUUUAGAUUUAUCGUUUUGUAAGUUUAGGUUACUAUUUAAACCAUCCAAAAAGUGUAGAACCCCCAUAAUAGGAAACUGCAUUUGUUCAAACUGAAAAUAUAGAUGAAAGUAACAAAAGAUACGGAGCAUAUUGUUGAUCUUCAUUUUGUGGUCGUCAAAAAUAUUUUGGAUGUCUCUUUAUUGAUCUUGUAUCACAAGAUUCACAACGAAACUCCAACUGACUCUGAAAAGGAAACCACUUGAUAAAAUGAAUGUUUAUAAGAAAAAUGGAAAAACAUUUUACAAAAUUGUUAUCACACAUAAAUAUAAAUUUAUGUUCUUAAAAACCUAUAAAUGAUUA